rnacentral:rRNA from 1 species
UAAGCAUAUCAAUAAGCGGAGGAAAAGAAACUAACAAGGAUUCCCCUAGUAACUGCGAGUGAAGCGGGAAAAGCUCAAAUUUAAAAUCUGGCGGUUCUGCCGUCCGAGUUGUAGUCUGGAGAAGUGCUUUCUGCGCUGGACCGUGUACAAGUCUCUUGGAACAGAGCGUCAUAGAGGGUGAGAAUCCCGUCUCUGACACGGACUACCAGUGCUUUGUGUAGCGCUCUCAAAGAGUCGAGUUGUUUGGGAAUGCAGCUCAAAAUGGGUGGUAAAUUCCAUCUAAAGCUAAAUAUAGGCGAGAGACCGAUAGCGAACAAGUACCGUGAGGGAAAGAUGAAAAGCACUUUGGAAAGAGAGUUAAACAGUACGUGAAAUUGCUGAAAGGGAAACGCUUGAAGUCAGUCGCGUCGUCUGGACUCAGCCUUGCUCUCGCUUGGUGCAUUUUCAGUCGACGGGCCAGCAUGGAUUUUAGCUGCCGGAAAAGGGCGGGAGGAAUGUGGCACCUUCGGGUGUGUUAUAGCCUCCCGUCGCACACGGUGGCCGGGAUCGAGGAUUCGCGCCGCAAGGCGUUUGGAUGCUGGCGUAAUGGCUUUAAACGACCCG